ACGUGUGGCACAAACAUAAUUGGUCAGUGAUAUCAAUAUAAGACAGACCUGAGAUAGACAAAGAGUCAUAACAGGAACAAUGAAGACUUUGUGUGUUGCCGUUGUUGUGCUGAGUCUCAUUUCAGUGUGUCAGCCGCACCGCUGACCUGUGAAAAGCUGCUGAAGCCAGUGGACAAAGAGCUAGAAGUGACUGGGACUUGGUACAUGAUAGCUGUUGCGACGGAAAGCUGUUUGGCUACAACAAUCAUGAAUGCUCUUUUUGAGCUAAGUGGCAAAAUUCACAUUAACGCAACUGAUGCACCAAAAGUCUACAGUUUAGAAUAUAAUAUUAAAUUAUAUCAAUAUGCAAAACUGACACAGGCAAUUUUUUCUACGAGAAAAGCGCCAUGUUUGGUGUCGACGUUAAUAAUGCCCAUAUGGUGACGCAGAUCUAGUGCUGCAAAGUGGGUGUCCAGACUGUAUGGUUCUACUGGGAGAUUCCGUCUUAAACACACAAUACUCUUUAGUAAGG